rnacentral:rRNA from 1 species
AUGCUUAACACAUGCAAGUCGAACGGUAACAGAUAAGAUAAUCUCUUCGGGGUGAAUCUUUGCUGACGAGUGGCGGACGGGUGAGGAAUGCUUGGGAAUCUGCCCAAUAGUGGGGGAAAACUCGGGGAAACCCGGGCUAAUACCGCAUAAUCUCUACGGAGGAAAGAGGGCCUCUACUUGUAAGCUCUCGCUAAUGGAUGAGCCCAAGUCAGAUUAGCUAGUUGGUAAGGUAAUGGCUUACCAAGGCUACGAUCUGUAGCUGGUCUGAGAGGAUGAUCAGCCACACUGGGACUGAGACACGGCCCAGACUCCUACGGGAGGCAGCAGUGGGGAAUAUUGCACAAUGGGCGCAAGCCUGAUGCAGCAAUGCCGCGUGUGUGAAGAAGGCUCUCGGGUUGUAAAGCACUUUCAAUAGAGAAGAAAAGCUUGAAAUUAAUACUUUCAAGCCUUGACGUAACCUAUACAAGAAGCACCGGCUAAUUCCGUGCCAGCAGCCGCGGUAAUACGGGAGGUGCGAGCGUUAAUCGGAAUUACUGGGCGUAAAGCGAGCGUAGGCUGUUAAUUAAGUCGAAUGUGAAAUCCCCGGGCUCAACCUGGGAACUGCAUUCGAAACUAUUUAACUAGAGUAUGGGAGAGGAAAGUAGAAUUUCCGGUGUAGCGGUGAAAUGCGUAGAUAUCGGAAGGAACACCAGUGG